GUGUCUGAGAUUUUCGGUGACGCUGGGCGGAGCUUACAUGAAUAUUCAUGUGUUUCUGUUUCGCGUUAAAGCGACUCUGAUAAUAUUAGUACGUUUUCACCGGAUCACAAAAACUGUUCAACAAGGUGUCACAUGGAAGUGCAUGACAGCCUACAGUUCAUGUGGAGAAGCUGUUUGUUUGUAAUUAAUAUAUCUGUUACAAAUCAGCAGAGUUUGAUACUUGCACUUCUGCCUGUUAUUUUUUUCCUAUAGCUUACAGAAGCUCUUCUAAUGGGGGAGACUUAUAUUUUUGUCAAGUUAUAUAUGAGGCCACUAUUGCACACAUAGAUGAAGACAUGCGUAAACGUUCUCAGAAUUAACUUUUGCUUUUUUAUCUGAUGCAGGGGAUGGUGGAUGUGUACUUUAUCAGUGUAAUAGUUAAACAAAUCAUAUGCAAAAUAAAAAACUUGUA
rnacentral:lncRNA from 1 species